rnacentral:rRNA from 1 species
UUAGUACCUGCCCUUUAGUGGGGAAUAACCCGGCGAAAGUCGGGCUAAUACCGCAUGUGAUCGCUUGCGAUUAAAGCAUUUAUGCGCUAAAGGAGGGGCUUACGUCUGAUUAGCUAGUUGGUAGGGUAAUGGCCUACCAAGGCGAUGAUCAGUAGCUGGUUCGAGAGGAUGACCAGCCACACUGGGACUGAGAUACGGCCCAG